rnacentral:rRNA from 1 species
UUGCAUUGACGAGCGGCGGACGGGUGAGUAAUGUCUGGGAAACUGCCUGAUGGAGGGGGAUAACUACUGGAAACGGUAGCUAAUACCGCAUAACGUCUUCGGACCAAAGAGGGGGACCUUCGGGCCUCUUGCCAUCAGAUGUGCCCAGAUGGGAUUAGCUAGUAGGUGAGGUAAUGGCUCACCUAGGCGACGAUCCCUAGCUGGUCUGAGAGGAUGACCAGCCACACUGGAACUGAGACACGGUCCAGACUCCUACGGGAGGCAGCAGUGGGGAAUAUUGCACAAUGGGCGCAAGCCUGAUGCAGCCAUGCCGCGUGUGUGAAGAAGGCCUUCGGGUUGUAAAGCACUUUCAGCGGGGAGGAAGGCGGUGAGGUUAAUAACCUCAUCGAUUGACGUUACCCGCAGAAGAAGCACCGGCUAACUCCGUGCCAGCAGCCGCGGUAAUACGGAGGGUGCAAGCGUUAAUCGGAAUGACUGGGCGUAAAGCGCACGCAGGCGGUUUGUUAAGUCAGAUGUGAAAUCCCCGAGCUUAACUUGGGAACUGCAUUUGAAACUGGCAAGCUAGAGUCUUGUAGAGGGGGGUAGAAUUCCAGGUGUAGCGGUGAAAUGCGUAGAGACUGGAGGAAUACCGGUGGCGAAGGCGGCCCCCUGGACAAAGACUGACGCUCAGGUGCGAAAGCGUGGGGAGCAAACAGGAUGGA